rnacentral:rRNA from 1 species
GGAGGGCGCUAGCGUUGUUCGGAAUCAUUGGGCGUAAAGCGCGUGUAGGCGGCUUGGUAAGUCGGGCGUGAAAUCCCGGGGCUCAACCCCGGAACUGCGCUCGAAACUGCCUCGCUUGAGUCCCGGAGAGGAGGGCGGAAUUCCCGGUGUAGAGGUGAAAUUCGUAGAUAUCGGGAGGAACACCAGUGGCGAAGGCGGCCCUCUGGACGGUGACUGACGCUGAGACGCGAAAGCGUGGGGAGCAAACAGGAUUAGAUACCCUGGUAGUCCACGCCGUAAACGUUGGGUGCUAGGUGUCGCGGGUAUUGACCCCCCUGCGGUGCCGUCGUUAACGCAUUUAGCACCCCGCCUGGGGAGUACGGUCGCAAGGCUAA